AGAGUUUGAUCCUGGCUCAGGAUGAACGCUGGCGGCGUGCCUAAUACAUGCAAGUCGAGCGAACGGACGAGAAGCUUGCUUCUCUGAUGUUAGCGGCGGACGGGUGAGUAACACGUGGAUAACCUACCUAUAAGACUGGGAUAACUUCGGGAAACCGGAGCUAAUACCGGAUAAUAUUUUGAACCGCAUGGUUCAAAAGUGAAAGACGGUCUUGCUGUCACUUAUAGAUGGAUCCGCGCUGCAUUAGCUAGUUGGUAAGGUAACGGCUUACCAAGGCAACGAUGCAUAGCCGACCUGAGAGGGUGAUCGGCCACACUGGAACUGAGACACGGUCCAGACUCCUACGGGAGGCAGCAGUAGGGAAUCUUCCGCAAUGGGCGAAAGCCUGACGGAGCAACGCCGCGUGAGUGAUGAAGGUCUUCGGAUCGUAAAACUCUGUUAUUAGGGAAGAACAUAUGUGUAAGUAACUGUGCACAUCUUGACGGUACCUAAUCAGAAAGCCACGGCUAACUACGUGCCAGCAGCCGCGGUAAUACGUAGGUGGCAAGCGUUAUCCGGAAUUAUUGGGCGUAAAGCGCGCGUAGGCGGUUUUUUAAGUCUGAUGUGAAAGCCCACGGCUCAACCGUGGAGGGUCAUUGGAAACUGGAAAACUUGAGUGCAGAAGAGGAAAGUGGAAUUCCAUGUGUAGCGGUGAAAUGCGCAGAGAUAUGGAGGAACACCAGUGGCGAAGGCGACUUUCUGGUCUGUAACUGACGCUGAUGUGCGAAAGCGUGGGGAUCAAACAGGAUUAGAUACCCUGGUAGUCCACGCCGUAAACGAUGAGUGCUAAGUGUUAGGGGGUUUCCGCCCCUUAGUGCUGCAGCUAACGCAUUAAGCACUCCGCCUGGGGAGUACGACCGCAAGGUUGAAACUCAAAGGAAUUGACGGGGACCCGCACAAGCGGUGGAGCAUGUGGUUUAAUUCGAAGCAACGCGAAGAACCUUACCAAAUCUAGAGAUAGAGCCUUCCCCUUCGGGGGACAAAGUGACAGGUGGUGCAUGGUUGUCGUCAGCUCGUGUCGUGAGAUGUUGGGUUAAGUCCCGCAACGAGCGCAACCCUUAAGCUUAGUUGCCAUCAUUAAGUUGGGCACUCUAAGUUGACUGCCGGUGACAAACCGGAGGAAGGUGGGGAUGACGUCAAAUCAUCAUGCCCCUUAUGAUUUGGGCUACACACGUGCUACAAUGGACAAUACAAAGGGCAGCGAAACCGCGAGGUCAAGCAAAUCCCAUAAAGUUGUUCUCAGUUCGGAUUGUAGUCUGCAACUCGACUACAUGAAGCUGGAAUCGCUAGUAAUCGUAGAUCAGCAUGCUACGGUGAAUACGUUCCCGGGUCUUGUACACACCGCCCGUCACACCACGAGAGUUUGUAACACCCGAAGCCGGUGGAGUAACCUUUUAGGAGCUAGCCGUCGAAGGUGGGACAAAUGAUUGGGGUGAAGUCGUAACAAGGUAGCCGUAUCGGAAGGUGCGGCUGGAUCACCU
rnacentral:rRNA from 1 species